rnacentral:rRNA from 1 species
UACGAGUGCCCCGAGCGUUAUCCGGAAUCAUUGGGCGUAAAGGGCGCGUAGGCGGCUUGGCAAGUGGAUGGUGAAAUCCCUCGGCUUAACCGAGGAACUGCCGUCCAAACUGCUUCGCUUGAGACCGGGAGAGGUGAGUGGAAUUCCCAGUGUAGCGGUGAAAUGCGUAGAUAUUGGGAGGAACACCAGUGGCGAAGGCGGCUCACUGGACCGGUACUGACGCUGAUGCGCGAAAGCGUGGGGAGCAAACGGG